rnacentral:rRNA from 1 species
CCUACGGGAGGCAGCAGUGGGGAAUAUUGCACAAUGGGCGAAAGCCUGAUGCAGCGACGCCGCGUGAGGGAUGACGGCCUUCGGGUUGUAAACCUCUUUCAGCAGGGAAGAAGCGAGAGUGACGGUACCUGCAGAAGAAGCGCCGGCUAACUACGUGCCAGCAGCCGCGGUAAUACGUAGGGCGCAAGCGUUGUCCGGAAUUAUUGGGCGUAAAGAGCUCGUAGGCGGCUUGUUGCGUCGGUUGUGAAAGCCCGGGGCUUAACCCCGGGUCUGCAGUCGAUACGGGCAGGCUAGAGUGUGGUAGGGGAGAUCGGAAUUCCUGGUGUAGCGGUGAAAUGCGCAGAUAUCAGGAGGAACACCGGUGGCGAAGGCGGAUCUCUGGGCCAUUACUGACGCUGAGGAGCGAAAGCGUGGGGAGCGAACAGGAUUAGAUACCCUGGUAGUCCACGCCGUAAACGUUGGGAACUAGGUGUUGGCGACAUUCCACGUCGUCGGUGCCGCAGCUAACGCAUUAAGUUCCCCGCCUGGGGAGUCGGCCGCAAGGCUAAACGUCAAAGGAAUUGCGGNUUGAGCGNGCGAGCGCGCGAGGAGAG